AACCUUACCAGGUCUUGACAUCCCCUGACAACCCGAGAGAUCGGGCGUUCCCCUUCGGGGGACAGGGUGACAGGUGGUGCAUGGUUGUCGUCAGCUCGUGUCGUGAGAUGUUGGGUUAAGUCCCGCAACGAGCGCAACCCUCGACCUUAGUUGCCAGCAUUCAGUUGGGCACUCUAAGGUGACUGCCGGCUAAAAGUCGGAGGAAGUGGGGAUGACGUCAAAUCAUCAUGCCCCUUAUGACCUGGGCUACACACGUGCUACAAUGGGCGGUACAAAGGGUCGCGAACCCGCGAGGGGGAGCCAAUCCCAAAAAGCCGCUCUCAGUUCGGAUUGCAGGCUGCAACUCGCCUGCAUGAAGCCGGAAUCGCUAGUAAUCGCGGAUCAGCAUGCCGCGGUGAAUACGUUCCCGGGCCUU
rnacentral:rRNA from 1 species